rnacentral:rRNA from 1 species
UACGUAGGUGGCAAGCGUUGUUCGGAAUUACUGGGCGUAAAGCGCGUGUAGGCGGCUCUUCAAGUCAGACGUGAAAGCCCCGGGCUUAACUCGGGAACUGCGUUUGAUACUGGCGACCUUGAGUCCGGGAGAGGUGAGUGGAACUGCGAGUGUAGAGGUGAAAUUCGUAGAUAUUCGCAAGAACACCAGUGGCGAAGGCGGCUCACUGGCCCGGUACUGACGCUGAGGUGCGAAAGCGUGGGGAGCAAACAGG